AUUUUUGUGCUUUGUCUUUUGUUACACAGAGUGAACGAGAUCUUUGGUUUUUGCCUUUGCUGACUGCUGACCUGAUCGUCUCAAGUCUGGUAAGUAAAGGUUUUUCUGAGGUGCAGUGCUGGGGAAAUGUUUCUCAUGAUAGGAGAUUCAGUGUAGUGGUGUGAGUGAGCACAGCUAUUGGUGAUCAUCAAAAGUCAUCAAAUCCUAGUAAAGUCUGUGUAAACAUUUCCAGACCUACAGAGGUCCGUAGGUAGGUUAUUGUAGCAGCACAUAUUUUUUCACAUUAGAGCAGCUCAUGAACAGCAGUUUAGGUACAAUUAAGUCUUCAAAUAGGGCCUUGUGGAUUUCAAAAGCUUCUUUCCCUUCAAUAAUUAAGUCACUGUCUGAAAACUGCUCUUUGAAUUAGUCUUUUAUAAUUAAAGAUUUUGUUGAUGACUG